UUGUGCCCCACAAACAUGUGGGGCAUCAAUAUAUCUCAUCUGAUCUUGGAAGCUGAGCAGGGUUGGGCCCUGGUAAUACUUGGAUGGGGACUGCCUGGGAAUACAGGUGCUGCAGGCU
rnacentral:rRNA from 1 species